UACGUAAGUGGCGAGCGUUAUCCGGAAUCACUGGGUGUAAAGGGUGUGUAGGCGGUAAUGUAAGUUUUAUGUUUAAUGAUGCGGCUCAACUGCAUUUUUGCAUAAAAUACUGCAUUGCUGGAGUGGUAGAGAGGAAACUGGAACUCAAGGUGUAGCGGUGAAAUGUGUAGAUAUCUUGGGGAACACCAAUGGCGAAGGCAGGUUUCUGGCUACUAACUGACGCUGAGACACGAAAGCGUGGGGAG
rnacentral:rRNA from 1 species